rnacentral:lncRNA from 1 species
CAGCACCACGCUUGAUUGUGACUUCCACAGAGAUCCUGGACCUUUGGGAAGGAAGACCGGACCACCCAAACAACCAAGCAGCUCUCUGAGAACUAGGCUGGGCUCAGGAAGAAGAGGAUGCCAGAUCAAGCCGGUCACUUCUCCAGCUGCCUCUGUACAGGCGAUCUUAUCACAAAAAGCCCGAUCACCACAGCUUCUCCAGUUCCAUCAUGGCUGACUCCUCCAGCCAGCUCGGAGAGUGAUUUCAAAAUCCCAAGAGCCCAUGAAAACCGCACAGCCAUCAUCAACACAGAUUUUGGCUUAGUUCAGUGAGGACCUGGAGGCCACAUCAGGUCACAUGCUUGGUGAUGGGAAUGGUCGCAGAAAUAGCAUUUUAACCACUAUGGCUGCCAGAGCGUCCAUGGACUGUUACCACUCGCUGUUUGUGCAGUGAGAUCCACUUCCACUAGCCUGUAGGCUGUUGGAUCCAUAAUGUACCGUGAGUAUAGGGCAAUGUAUCAUGAGAGAUGGAGCAGAAGGUCCCUGGGUUCAGCCCUUCUGAGGAGAUCACUAAAUUUAUGUGUACA